GCGCUAUUAGUUUAGUGGUAGAAUGUCAGGUUUCCAACCUGAAGACAGGGGUUCGAUUCCCCUAUGGCGCA
rnacentral:tRNA from 2 species